UGUCCAUUUUUUUGGAUCGCAAAUCCGUCCUGACUCGUAUCCGUCCCGAAUUUUUCAUCCCAUUCAAAUGAUUAUU
rnacentral:sRNA from 1 species